rnacentral:lncRNA from 1 species
AUGCAAUCUCAGGGGUUAAAUCAAAGAUUUGUCAUUUAAAAAGCAUGGAAACCCUUCCAGAAAAGACACAAGAUGAAGCUGUUGGUAAAACAAGCAAUACUAAAAUAAUGAUGACGUCUUCUUCUCAGUCACCAAAAAUGAUGACGUCUUCUUCUCAGUCACCAAAUUUUGUAUACACCAGAAGAAAGAGGCGGAAUUCUGUUAGCAUCCAAGAAAACUGUUCUGCUGUGGAG